UCUGGGAAUGAGAUUAGAGAUGUGAUCAGAGGCACUGGUAUGAUUGAAUCAUAUUGAGUAUGGACAUAAGUGCCUAUGAGACCGUAGGGCGGGCAGUUCCUGAUUGAGCUAAAGCGGCCACAAGCGAAUAGUCAAGUAGGAGCUGCAGGUGGAAAAUGUCAGGGAUUUGAGGUGUAAAGAGUUAUUGUUGUGAACUUAUGUGUUGGAUGAUAAUGUUCUAUGUAAUGAUAGUGAUGAGUUGUGGUGAUGUGGGUUUUUAACUGUUGACAACUAGUUAGUUCUCGUUGUCCAUUGAGUAGUAUAGUUGCUCAUGAUGAAAAGCUGAUAUAGUGCUAUAUCACUGAGUAAUCGAUUUUCUCAUCCUCUUUUUCCAUUUCCUUGUGUAAAGAACUGUAUAUGGUCGGGUUGGUGGAUUUAAAUAGAAAAAAGAACGUUUGAGAAUCAUGAAAACAAUGAGAAGACGCAAUGGCUAGCCUUCAGGUGUAGAAAUGAUUGUCAAUCCCGCGUUCUUUGAAUUGCCCAGGUGAGUGGGGGUUACAAUUUGGUAUCAAGACCUAUGUUAAGAUCCCUCCAUGCUAUCAUAAGGGAUCAGUGCGUGCUAUUUUAAAAAAUCUUAUUUUAGUUUGCGAAAUUGUGUGAAAAAUUAUGGUCUUCGAAAACCUCUGUGUAAUAUUUUUAAGGGAAAAUUGUAAAAUAGAACAGAAAAACAACUGCAUUGUCCCUAUACAAUAAUAUCAACUAUAACUUGUUUUAUUAUAAACCCAACAAAGUCCUUCGUAAAAUUGUUUUUUUUUUGUUUAUAUUCAUUUGUAAAAUAUAAUUAAAAAUACCAACUUAAUAAUUACAAAGUAAAAAAUAGAAAAAUACAUUUAUCCCUAAAAUCUAACAUGACGAACCCUAAUUUCCCAUUCCCCUCUUUGGUCUCAUCACCCGACGAAUCGCUCCUCCACUCCGGCUAUCCGCAGCUGCAACUCCAGUGAAUCGACUCACCGGUGCACCUCCUCCUGGUCGUCGAUGUUUAUCUUCCUUCUCCUUACAAGAGAAUCAUGGAUUCUUGAUUUAAUCUCUCUCUUCUCCGAUAGAAACAAAGUGAAUCACUUCACCGGAAUCUCAAACCCGCGCCUUACUGUUUCAAACAGAGAUCUCUUCGAUUGUGUUACCCUUCAUGUUUACUCAUCGACCUAAUCAUUUUCAAUACAGAGUAUGGAGCUUCACAUUUGGUUACUGACUUCUCUCCUUUACGGGAAAUUAGAAGCUGUAGAGACGAGGUUCCACCUCCGGGUAAAGAUUCCUUAUAUAAUAGACUGUUCCUAAUGGGAAUUGAAGCUGUUCUUGGUCUUGCACCUGCACCAGAAUACACUUUCCUUAGCUUAUCUAUGUUUCUCCUGUUGGAAACUACUUCAAGGUUGUUCAAGCUUGACUAGUGGAUACUUAGUGAGAGUUGUUAUGACUUUGGAUUUAGUUACUGGUAAUUGUUAUGUAUGUGUUACGUGUUGUACUCGGAUUCUUGUAAACAAUAGUAAAUGUGUUUUAGCUGUAA